ensembl:lncRNA
GUUAUCUUGAAGCAGUAUCUGUCUUUUCCCAAACAGCACUUCAGGACUUCUGUGGUGACCUCUCUAAACACUUCAUUUUCAUUCAUGAGGAAAUGGAGAGCCAGGCUGGUGAAGCGAUUUCUCUAGGGUUUCCCAGCAGAACUGGACCUCUAACAAGAUUCUCAGAACUCCAUCCCUUUCUUUUCCUAUUGUUAUGCUCAUCAAUGUUCCAAGAUUAUUGCUCUGCCUUUUCUCACCAAGAGAGAUGUGGUUUUUGACCUUCAGAGGUGCUUAAUUCUCUUGACAGAAUAUCCACCUGUGUGUAUGUGUCCUAAAAGCAAUUACAACAAUUGGAUAAGAUGCUUACCUGAUUGUGGUGUAUUUGUUGCCAAAGGCAUCUAAUGAGACAAGGAGGUGAUCCAGGCUCACUUCAUCACCCUUCUCUAGGCUCCUUGACACCAGAGAAAAUAAGCAAAGACUCGGUUCAUUGUCCUGCAGUUUCUCCCAAGCUCUCAGACUCCUUUGUAAGGUUUAUCUGCUUACGUGGAGGGGGAGGCGAUGGCCAGCCCUGAAAUGAAGUGCCUGAAUCCCAGGUGUGAUCUCUGUAAGAUCAAUUCGGACAUCUCUUAGGAGCACUCCAGAAUGUACGACAUGUUUCUAAAUAAAGGAGAAGGGGGCAGGUGGAGGCCACGUGAGAGAUGGACUGAAAGGCACCUGGACACUGGCUGCAGGAUCCAGAGGUUCAGGUCGGACGUCUGCACCGAAGGAAGACGCUGGGGAGCCAGUGAAGGUGGCUGAGCAGGCUGAACAUAACACCUUAAUUUUGAAGACAGUUACCCAGGUUGGUGAAAAUACUGAUUCAUUAAUCAUCAGCUACUGGAUGUCUGCUCUUGCAUGGUUUCCAGUUCAGGUCUAUCCUGUGCACCUAACUUCUCCCAGGAAUAUAUCACAGCUUCAUCUUCAUGCAUCGCACCGGUCCACCUUUCUUGGAGAGCAGGAUUAUUUGAUGUCGAGGAGGGCCCAAGAAACUUCACUGAAGAUUGAGAUGAAACCAAGUUCUCUGAGGCAUGGGGCAAAGGAAUAGCUAUAAAGGAGACCUGAAGAAAACAAAGUUUCUGAUUUAUGGGAGAAUUUUUGUGGAUGAGGAAUACAAUUUCCCUUGAUGAAGUACUGCCCCAUUCUGCUGAUAAUCUGUGUGAUUGUUUCCGGGGAGAUCAAAGGAUAUAGCAGGACCAACAUUUAAUUCUGGAAUCAGGAUCUCAGAGUUCACCAUCUUGGACUCAUGAAAUUGGGAACAAAGGAAGCCUGAAUGUUUCACCGGUCUCUCUGGUUGGAUGAAGUCUGCAUGCAUCAGGGUCUUUUCCAAUGAGCUGGCUCUAUGCAUCAGGUGGCCAAGUAUUGGAGCUUCAGCUUCAGCGUCAGUCCUUCCAAUGAACACCCAGGACUGAUUU